GAAAUGCGAUAAUUAAUGUGAAUUGCAGAAUUCAGUGAAUCAUCGAGUCUUUGAACGCACAUUGCGCCCCCUGGUAUUCCGGGGGGCAUGCCUGUCCGAGCGUCAUUGCUGCCCUCAAGCACGGCUUGUGUGUUGGGCUUCCGUCCCUGGCAACGGGGACGGGCCCAAAAGGCAGUGGCGGCACCAUGUCUGGUCCUCGAGCGUAUGGGGCUUUGUCACCCGCUCCCGUAGGUCCAGCUGGUAGCUAGCCUCGCAACCAAUCUUUUUAACCAGGUUGACCUCGGAUCAGGUAGGGAUACCCGCUGAACUUAAGC
rnacentral:misc_RNA from 1 species